UACGUAGGGUGCGAGCGUUAAUCGGAAUUACUGGGCGUAAAGCGUGCGCAGGCGGUUGUGCAAGACAGAUGUGAAAUCCCCGGGCUCAACCUGGGAAUUGCAUUUGUGACUGCACGGCUAGAGUGUGUCAGAGGGGGGGUAGAAUUCCACGUGUAGCAGUGAAAUGCGUAGAGAUGUGGAGGAAUACCGAUGGCGAAGGCAGCCCCCUGGGAUAACACUGACGCUCAUGCACGAAAGCGUGGGGAGCAA
rnacentral:rRNA from 1 species